rnacentral:lncRNA from 1 species
UGCCCCAGGAGAACAUCACACUUUCCCACUGCAGCUACUACAGAGAGUUGCUUCUAAGGGCGGGCCGGAGAUUCUGUGAGAAGUUCAAAGCAAGGCCUAAGGCUCUGCGUGAACAUUCAAGUUGGCGGAUGUUGACAUGUAUGUACAUGACUUUCCCUGUUGUUCUUCCUGAUCCAGCAAAAAACGGGAGUCUAAAGCGCUUACAAGCCUUGGGAUUUUGAGCAUGUGCAGGCCAGACAACAGGAGGUGCUCACUGACGUCAACUUUGAUCUGGAGAAAAAGUUUCAGAUUGGUAAAAAUUAGAGGGUGAGUAACCCCAGUGACUCAUCUAUGAGUUCAUUCAAUAUUGUGUGCCAGGAACUGUCAGGACAAAGAGAGUCUUUCAAAGGCCCAGUUUUCAGGGAAGCUACAGCCCAGAUAUAUAAGCCGGUGGUUUCCGUUAUUACUACAUACAAUGCCAUUACCACUGCAGAGGCAAGAAGCUGGGUAAUAUGGGCAUAGUUUAAAAAAGUAAAAAUCUGCCUCCUCAUUGUCCAGGCUUGGAAAACUGACACAAAUAAAGGUAGCUACAAAAUAAACAAAAAGGUGACUCCCCCAGUAACACAUUACAGCUAUGAAGUAUCAACACAAUCCCCUUCUUAGAGCACUACUUUUGUAUUGACUGAAAACCUUUGUUCUCUAAAAUCAUAGAUUAUCAGAAUCUUUGCUGUCUGAAAUUUUAUCAGUAGGACUGAAGCAUUUCACUCUUGCCUGAAGUCACUUUGAUUCAGAAGUAGCCUUAAUUUACAACCCAGUGCAAAGCUUUGGAAAGAGGUCUGUGGACAUAGCACUCCAUAUCUAAACAUCCUAAGGCCACUUUGCAAUUCAUACUUGACCUUGACCUUUUUAUAGGAGCCUAGUUUUGCUUUCAGGUUGUCAAAACAUUGCUUCAUUUUAAUUGGUAUCCGUCCAGCAAAUUCUACAUUGACUCUAUCCUUUGGUACUGUUGUGUACAUUCUCUUACAAUGGGUUGAUAAACCUAGCUUUGCCAGAUUAUGGGUCUGGGACGUCUAGAUGGGCUAGGACAUUUAAUAAAUGUCUGAGGUGAUAGAUGUGUCACUGACCCUGAUCUGAUCAUUACACAUUAUAUACAUGUACUGAAAUAUCACAUUGUACCACUGUAAAUACGUAUAAUUGCCAUGUGUCAGUUUAAAACAAAAAUAUAUUUUAAAUGUAAAAUAUGUAGAAAGUUUAUAUUCAGAGAAAAAAAUUCUAAAAGAAGAGUAUGGUCAAAGAGAGUUUACGGCCUGGUACAGCAGCGCACACCCGUAAUCCCAGUGCCCUGGGAGGCUGAGGCAGGAGGAUCGUGAGUUCAAAACCAGCCUCAGCAAUUUAGCCCUAAGCCACUCAGUGAGACCCUGUCUCUAAAUAAAAUACAAAAAAAGUCUGGGGAUGUGGCUCAGUGGUUGAGUGCCCUGAGUUCAAUCCCCAGUACCAAAAAACAAACAAACAAAAGAAAGAAAGAGUUUACAAUUUCACGAGGAUGAAUUCCUGGCCAAUUCAUACUAAUCCUAUAAGACUCAAUUCAUAAAUUACCUCUCCUUUAGAACUGGCCAUAAUCCUGCCUUCCUCUUCUAAACUCUGGUGGCAGAUGCCACCAUAAUAUUAUGAUUAUAGGCUUACCUGUAUCUCCAUUUGUCUUAGCUUUUUGGGAGCACGGCCUGACAUUGAUCUACAAAUGCCUGGCACCUGGCCCAUGGAAGGGGCUUAAUGUUUACAAGAUGAGCCAACAAGAGAAGCAGAGACUGGGAGCAAGAAAACCCACUGCCAGGGCUGGGGAUGUGGCUCAAGCAGUAGUGCGCUUUCCUGGCAUGUGCGCAGCACUGGGUUCGAUCCUCAGCACCAUAUACAAAUAAAGAUGUUGU